rnacentral:rRNA from 1 species
CCGCGGGAACACCGGCGGCCCGAGUGGUGAUCGUGAUUAUUGGGUCUAAAGGGUCCGUAGCCGGUUGGUCAGUCCUCCGGGAAAUCUGAUAGCUCAACUAUUAGGCUUUCGGGGGAUACUGCCAGACUUGGAACCGGGAGAGGUAAGAGGUACUACAGGGGUAGGAGUGAAAUCUUGUAAUCCCUGUGGGACCACCUGUGGCGAAGGCGUCUUACCAGAACGGGUUCGACGGUGAGGGACGAAAGCUGGGGGCACGAACCGGAUUAGAUACCCGGGUAGUCCCAGCCGUAAACGAUGCUCGCUAGGUGUCAGGCAUGGCGCGACCGUGUCUGGUGCCGCAGGGAAGCCGUGAAGCGAGCCACCUGGGAAGUACGGCCGCAAGGCUGAAACUUAAAGGAAUUGGCGGGGGAGCACAACAACGGGUGGAAGCCUGCGGUUUAAUUGGACUCAACGCCGGACAACUCACCGGGGGCGACAGCAAUAUGUAGGCCAAGCUGAAGACUUUGCCUGAAUCGCUGAGGGGUGGUGCAUGG